CGCCGAUGCCCUCCUUGGGCGUUUCCUCCCUUGACUUGGACCGCUUGUGGCAACACGAGCGGUUCCUUUCUUUUUGGGC
rnacentral:sRNA from 1 species